GACGAACGCUGGCGGCGUGCCUAAUACAUGCGAGUAGAACGCUGAAGGAGGAGCUUACUUCUCUGGAUGAGUUGCGAACGGGUGAGUAACGCGUAGGCAACCUGCCUGGUAGCGGGGGAUAACUAUUGGAAACGAUAGCUAAUACCGCAUAAGAGUAGAUGUUGCAUGACAUUUACUUAAAAGGUGCAAUUCCACCACUACCAGAUGGACCUGCGUUGUAUUAGCUAGUUGGUGGGGUAACGGCUUACCAAGGCGACGAUACAUAGCCGACCUGAGAGGGUGAUCGGCCACACUGGGACUGAGACACGGCCCAGACUCCUACGGGAGGCAGCAGUAGGGAAUCUUCGGCAAUGGACGGAAGUCUGACCGAGCAACGCCGCGUGAGUGAAGAAGGUUUUCGGAUCGUAAAGCUCUGUUGUAAGAGAAGAACGAGUGUGAGAGUGGAAAGUUCACACUGUGACGGUAUCUUACCAGAAAGGGACGGCUAACUACGUGCCAGCAGCCGCGGUAA
rnacentral:rRNA from 1 species